rnacentral:rRNA from 1 species
CAGUAGCCACGGGAAUACGGAGGGCGCGAGCGUUACCCGGAUUUACUGGGCGUAAAGGGCGUGUAGGCGGCCUGGGGCGUCCCAUGUGAAAGGCCACGGCUCAACCGUGGAGGAGCGUGGGAUACGCUCAGGCUAGAGGGUGGGAGAGGGUGGUGGAAUUCCCGGAGUAGCGGUGAAAUGCGCAGAUACCGGGAGGAACGCCGAUGGCGAAGGCAGCCACCUGGUCCACUUCUGACGCUGAGGCGCGAAAGCGUGGGGAGCGAACAGGAUUAGAUACCCCGGUAGUCCCUGUCUCUUAUAC